UACGGAGGGUGCAAGCGUUAUCCGGAUUCACUGGGUUUAAAGGGUGCGUAGGAGGGCAGGUAAGUCAGUGGUGAAAUCUCCGAGCUUAACUUGGAAACUGCCGUUGAUACUAUCUGCCUUGAAUAUUGUGGAGGUGAGCGGAAUAUGUCAUGUAGCGGUGAAAUGCUUAGAUAUGGCAUAGAACACCAAUUGCGAAGGCAGCUCGCUACACAUAUAUUGACUCUGAGGCACGAAAGCGUGGGGAUCAAACAGG
rnacentral:rRNA from 1 species